AGGACUAACGCUGGCGGCGUGCCUAACACAUGCAAGUCGAACGAGAGUAGCAAUACUCUAGUGGCAGACGGGUGAGUAACACGUGGUCAACCUACCUUUAAGUGGGGGAUAACUAGCCGAAAGGUUAGCUAAUACCGCAUACGAUCUUCGCGUGGCAUCACAUGAAGAUGAAAGGAGCAAUCCGCUGAAAGACGGGACCGCGUCCCAUUAGCCAGUUGGUGGGGUAACGGCCCACCAAGGCUACGAUCAGUAGCUGGUCUGAGAGGAUGAUCAGCCACACUGGGACUGAGACACGGCCCAGACUCCUACGGGAGGCAGCAGUAGGGAAUCUUGCGCAAUGGGCGAAAGCCUGACGCAGCCAUGCCGCGUGAAUGAUGAAGGUCUUAGGAUUGUAAAAUUCUUUCAGCGGGGACGAUAAUGACGGUACCCGCAGAAGAAGCCCCGGCUAACUUCGUGCCAGCAGCCGC
rnacentral:rRNA from 1 species